rnacentral:rRNA from 1 species
GACGAACGCUGGCGGCGUGCUUAACACAUGCAAGUCGAGCGGGGCGGCGGACGGGUGAGUAACGCGUGAGUAACUGCCCCCCUCUCUGGGAUAACAGUUGGCAACGGCAGAUAAUACCGGAUAGUGGUGGAUGACUGGCGUCCUAUCAGCUUGUUGGUUGGGUAGUGGCCUACCAAGGCGACGACGGGUCGCCGGCCUGAUAGGGCGACAGGCCACAUUGGGCUGAGGUACGCACCAGUCUCGUACGGUGGGCAGCGGUGGGGAUUAUUGCACAAUGGGGGAAACCCUGAUGCAGCAGCGCCGGGGGCGGGAUGACGGCCUGCGGGUUGUAAACCUCUUGCAGCCAUUACGCGGUAGUGGCAGAAGAAGCACCGGCUAACUACGUGCCAGCAGCCGCGGUAAGAC